AGCGAACGCUGGCGGCAGGCUUAACACAUGCAAGUCGAGCGGGCAUCUUCGGAUGUCAGCGGCAGACGGGUGAGUAACACGUGGGAACGUACCCUUCGGUUCGGAACAACUCUGGGAAACUGGAGCUAAUACCGGAUACGCCCUUAUGGGGAAAGGUUUACUGCCGAAGGAUCGGCCCGCGUCUGAUUAGCUAGUUGGUGGGGUAACGGCCUACCAAGGCGACGAUCAGUAGCUGGUCUGAGAGGAUGAUCAGCCACACUGGGACUGAGACACGGCCCAGACCCCUACGGGAGGCAGCAGUGGGGAAUAUUGGACAAUGGGCGCAAGCCUGAUCCAGCCAUGCCGCGUGAGUGAUGAAGGCCUUAGGGUUGUAAAGCUCUUUUGUCCGGGACGAUAAUGACGGUACCGGAAGAAUAAGCCCCGGCUAACUUCGUG
rnacentral:rRNA from 1 species